GCCGCUGUCGCCGAGCGUCGGAGCCCGAGGGGCCGCGGCCGCGCGCCGCGGGGGGAGGAGACGGUCUGGAGUCCCCCCGCUGCGCCGGGGUUGGGGAGACGGAGGACUGCAGCGCCCCUUGGGGCUUCUGAGGCGCCCAGGUAACCUCACCUGGCCGCCAGUCUCCCGCAGGAGGAACAGACACGUUGGUUCCACACCGAACCUAUUAACAGCUCAACUUCAAAUAUUUGGCAGAGGUGGGAUUGCUGUUCACUAAGGUUAUAUGAGCCAGCUUGGUUACUAAAUGUGAAAAUGCAUAUUUUUCAGCCUGUGGCAAAGUGGCAACGUCAGGGCAGAAGGAUGUAACUGAUAAAAGCUGCUCACACCUAAGUAGCCAGGAAACAGAGAGAAAUGGAGACAAAUAUAUGAUACAGCCUACCAAGACACAUUCCUAGUGACCUUCCCAUCUUUGGCUUUCCAACAAUUCACAAGAACACCCUUAAUUAUGAAUUCAUCAACAAAUCAAUUAAGUCAAAGCUCCCAUGAUGUAAUCACUUCCCUAUAUCCUCCCGUUGAACAUCCUCACCAUUGAAAACCAAGCCUUCAACACAUGAGUCUGGGCACAGUAAGUCAUAUCGAAUACAUUGAAGAUGUAAAUUUUAACGGUUGAAAAUGACAAGCAUAUUUUGUCUGUGAAAGUCAGCAAAAGGGAAUAUGGAAGAGAAAGCAUACUAAAGCUAAGGGUUCUGGAACGCAUAUAUGCUCUCCCUAUCAAUGUGGAGAGUGAGACAAGGAAGGCUUAAGUUCAGGGCCAGCCUGGACUAUGUAAAGUAUGCUACCAUUGAUUAUAUAAUCCAACUCCAGCAUCACAAAAAGUAGAGUAAAUACAAGAAAAAAAUGACUUUAGAAGUAUCAAGAUAUUAUGACUCAUUCAUAUGAUUUGUGCAGUUGAUUUAGUAUGGCUUAUGAUUUAGUAAUCAAAAUGGAUGAAGAUGAUAUAUAUACAUUAAUAAGAAUAAAUAUGUGAGACUGAACACAGAAUGUCCACCAGACACUGGGCAGUAAUUAGAUUCAACUCUCGUAAAAAUGUUCAACAGGAAAAAAAAAAAAACCAUAACUUUGCUUUAUACUUGGAUACUUUCAGUCAUACAGGUAAUGGAAUAAAAUGAAAGGAAAAUGCAGAUGGGAUCUGAGGGCCAGCCUCCUAUUAUACUAUUAUAUUGUAGUGCAGAAAAGAAGAAGAGUAUGUUGUAUUUGAUGUUUUCUGAGGUUUUGUUUUUGUUUUUGAAGCAUCUGUUGUUUUGCAGAUGCUGUUAAAUGUUGAACAUGACACAAUAAAAAGAAACAGACAAAAGUUAUUGUCCUUGUGGAACUAGUAUGAAGAAAAAUCAGAUGUUAAUAAAAAUAAUCAUUCACAAGA
rnacentral:lncRNA from 1 species